rnacentral:sRNA from 1 species
GGCGGCCAGCCCGGGUCUACCUCGCUCCGUGCAGGGCCGGGAGAGGGAUCCGCCAUAUUGGAGCUGGGGCCGAAGGUGCCUUGGAGCCGCGGCGCGAGGCGGGUGGAGGUGGCGGCCCUGGCCUGGAUCGGGGAGGAGUCGGCUCUGCCCUGGCUCGCAAGGCUGGGGAGCUAAUGAGCCUCUCCGGCUAGUCUCCUCCCCGUCCACUCCCUCCACUUUCUGCCGCCGGGAGCCGGCUGUGGCAGUGGCAGUGGCAGUGGCAGCGGCAGGAUGUUCUCCAAGAAGCCGCACGGGGACGUGAAGAAGUCCACCCAGAAGGUGCUGGACACCAAGAAGGACGCACUGACUCGCCUCAAGCACCUGCGCAUCGUCAUCGAGUUAAUGGUAGAACUGGCUGAAGAAGAUGCAUUCAUCCAGAUGCCUGAAUCCUAGUUCAGAGUUUAUCUCGAGCUGUCUUCCUGAUGCGUAU